rnacentral:misc_RNA from 1 species
AACCAUAGAAACCUGCGGAGUACCUGCGGAGGGAUCAUUACCGAGUUUACAACUCCCAAACCCCUGUGAACAUACCUAUACGUUGCCUCGGCGGAUCAGCCCGCGCCCCGUAAAAAGGGACGGCCCGCCCGAGGACCCCUAAACUCUGUUUUUAGUGGAACUUCUGAGUAAAACAAACAAAUAAAUCAAAACUUUUAACAACGGAUCU